UAUGCAAAGAUGACAUACAAACUCAUGAACUGUUCCAUACUUUU
rnacentral:snRNA from 1 species